UCAUUGGAGUCAAGAUUGAGUGCCA
rnacentral:piRNA from 1 species